AUACGUAGGUGACAAGCGUUAUCCGGAUUUACUGGGCGUAAAGGGCGUGUAGGCGGUCUUGCAAGUCAGAAGUGAAAUUCCUGAGCUCAACUCGGGCGCUGCUUCUGAAACUGCAGGACUUGAGUGCUGGAGGGGAUAGCGGAAUUCCUAGUGGAGCGGUAAAAUGCGCAGAUAUUAGGAAGAACACCGGUGGCGAAGGCGGCUACCUGGACAGUAACUGACGCUGAGGCACGAAAGCAUGGGUAGCAAACAGGAUUAGAUACCCUGGUAGUCCAUGCUGUAAACGAUGAUUACUAGGUGUGGGUGGACUGACCCCAUCCGUGCCGGAGUUAACACAUUAAGUAAUCCACCUGGGGAGUACGGCCGCAAGGUUGAAACUCAAAGGAAUUGACGGGG
rnacentral:rRNA from 1 species